AGAUCUGACUGUCUUGGAGAGAAUGUUUUAAAAUUGAAUUUGUAAAGAUGUUUACUUUAUGAAUAUAAAAGGUGCCAUCAAAUCCACCCAAGUCUUGAGUAUAACAAGAUGACAGAUAUGGAGAAGAAGAUGAUGCCCUCUUUCUGAACUAAGAUAUCCACUGGUGUCUCUCCUUGCAUGAAAAUGCUUGAACUUCUGUCCUCAAGUAAGAACAUAAUUGUGCAUAUUAAACAUCCAAUAUGUAUACAAUAAGCAAUGAUUUUCUUUUAAAACUCAUCCUAUUAUCUACUCAAACUAUAAACCUUUUACAUCCUACAACUCCUCACCACCCUGUCUCUAAGAGAAUGUCU
rnacentral:lncRNA from 1 species